UUACAGGCUUAAUAAUGCUUCAGUGUGUGGUACUCCUCAAAACACGGGACAGCACACAAGGGAGUGUUGGAUGGCACACACAUGUGCUUGGUGAGGCGCCUCUGCUUGCCCUUGCGUGUGCUGGAGAGGCAGACCUUGCAGUGCCGCCUGGUCUUGCUGCCCUGGGAAGUGGUCUGAGGGACUUCAGAUGGGAAAUGCCUGGCUGUAAGGCGCAGAGGAGUGUCCAAGGCAGGACGCCCGCCUUUGGUUGGACCUCGCAAUGUGCUGUACUCCUCCAGCAGCCCUCUCAUCAGCACACAGACUGGCUUCAUCAUUGGUUGCCCAGUGAGGUGAUCCAGCUUGCCUGUGGCUGCCAUACCAGUUGGAUGGACUGUGGUGAACUUUGGCAUCCCUUUUCUGUGUCCGCGCACGGUCCCACAAGCUCCAGUGCCAAGUGACAAGAGGUGCUGGAAAAGUGUGGGACUACUGUACCAGUUGUCAACAUAUAGAACAUGACAUUUGCUCAAGUAAGGUGCUAAGAGUGUCAUCACAACGGACCCAGAAAUCCCAAGUCCUGGAUGGAAUGAACUGACGAAAUGCCAGCCUGCCUUUCCACUUCAUCAGAGACUCAUCCACACACAGAUCCCUGUAUGGCACAAAAAUGCGACGAAAAGAGGAGGAACUGGUGUCAUCUCUUCGUCUUCAAAGUUGUCCAGAGCUUCAAGAUUUGGGGGAAGAUCCUCAUCACUGUCACUCUCUGCCUCGCUGUCAAAAAUCUCCUCAUCAGAAUUAAAAAAAAAUUCCU